CUGGUCUUACUUUCUAUAAGUUUAAACAGGUACAGCAUGGGCAGUGACAGUACAGGUUUCACAAUAUUGCCUGGACAGUGCAUCUAAAUCCUGACUUGAAGGGCCCACUUCUAGGGUCAAGAGGUCUCCAGAGGAUUCAGUCCUUGGCCUUU
ensembl:misc_RNA